UACGGAGGGUGCAAGCGUUGCUCGGAAUUAUUGGGCGUAAAGGGUAGGUAGGUGGUCUCAUUUGUCAGGGGUGAAAGCCUUGGGCUUAACCCAAGAAGUGCCCCUGAAACGGUGAGACUAGAGUACUGGAGAGGUCGGUGGAAUUCCCGGUGUAGCGGUGAAAUGCGUAGAGAUCCGGAGGAACACCAGCGGCGAAGGCGGCAUCCUGGACUGGUCCUGACACUCAGGAGCGAAAGCGUGGGGAGCGAUCCGG
rnacentral:rRNA from 1 species